ACUGCUCUACUUCAUUACAGUCGUCAAGGUGUCCAAUACCGUGGUGACCAAGCACUGCCCGCGACUAUUGGAAACCCGCAGCCCUCUUUUGCAGAGCUCCACUCAAGAGCAGAGUUUCAUGCUCCUGCCCAUGAAAGUCACCAUGCAUACAUGUCUUCCAG